rnacentral:rRNA from 1 species
GGCCUUGCGCUCUUUGAGCGGCCGAUGUCAGAUUAGCUAGUUGGUGAGGUAAAGGCUUACCAAGGCGACGAUCUGUAGCGGGUCUGAGAGGAUGAUCCGCCACACUGGAACUGAGACACGGUCUAGACUCCUACGGGAGGCAGCAGUGGGGAAUUUUGGACAAUGGGGGCAACCCUGAUCCAGCCAUGCCGCGUGAGUGAAGAAGGCCUUCGGGUUGUAAAGCUCUUUCGGCCGGGAAGAAAUCGCAUGGGCCAAUACCCUGUGUGGAUGACGGUACCGGAAUAAGAAGCAUCGGCUAACUACGUGCCAGCAGCCGCGGUAAUACGUAGGGUGCGAGCGUUAAUCGGAAUUACUGGGCGUAAAGCGUGCGCAGGCGGUUUUGUAAGACAGGCGUGAAAUCCCCGGGCUUAACCUGGGAACUGCGUUUGUGACUGCAAGGCUAGAGUACGGCAGAGGGGGGUGGAAUUCCACGUGUAGCAGUGAAGUGCGUAGAGAUGUGGAGGAACACCAAUGGCGAAGGCAGCCCCCUGGGUCGAUACUGACGCUCAUGCACGAAAGCGUGGGUAGCAAACAGGAUUAGAUACCCUGGUAGUCCACGCCCUAAACUAUGUCAACUAGGUGUUGGGUGGGUAAAACCAUUUAGUACCGUAGCUAACGCGUGAAGUUGACCGCCUGAGGAGUACGGCCGCAAGGUUAAAACUCAAAGGAAUUGACGGGGACCCGCACAAGCGGUGGAUGAUGUGGAUUAAUUCGAUGCAACGCGAAAAACCUUACCUACCCUUGACAUGCCAGGAACUUGCCAGAGAUGGCUUGGUGCCCGAGAGGGAGCCUGGACACAGGUGCUGCAUGGCUGUCGUCAGCUCGUGUCGUGAGAUGUUGGGUUAAGUCCCGCAACGAGCGCAACCCUUGUCGUUAAUUGCCAUCAUUUAGUUGGGCACUUUAACGAGACUGCCGGUGACAAACCGGAGGAAGGUGGGGAUGACGUCAAGUCCUCAUGGCCCUUAUGGGUAGGGCUUCACACGUCAUACAAUGGUCGGUACAAAGGGUUGCCAAGCCGCGAGGCGGAGCCAAUCCCAGAAAGCCGAUCGUAGUCCGGAUUGCAGGCUGCAACUCGCCUGCAUGAAGUCGGAAUCGCUAGUAAUCGUGGAUCAGCAUGUCACGGUGAAUACGUUCCCGGGUCUUGUACACACCGCCCGUCACACCAUGGGAGCGGGUUCCGCCAGAAGUAGGUAGCCUAACCGCAAGGGGGGCGCUUACC